rnacentral:ncRNA from 1 species
UUCAAUGCGUAGAUGGAGACAGGCUUUUCAAGGCGGCGCUUGUAGAGAGUCAGUGGGUGGUGAAAACUGACAGUGCGUUUGAAUUGCAAAUCACUCCAGAGCAGCAUUCUGAAUAAAAGUAAGAAUUGCCGGCUGGCCCCGAUACAAAGCCCAGGGUUUGAUUGAACCUAUAAACGAGACGGCUUUUUUUGCCAAUUAAGGUGGUACCGCGAGUAUACAGCUCGCCCUUGAA